AUGCUUCUGGUACCAAAGUAAUUUUGGGUACUUGUAUAGUACUGGUGUAUUUUGUCAUUUGUAGAUUUUGCACUCUUGUAAAUGGGUGGAAAAGGGUUUCCUCCAAAGUCCUUGGAUUAAAGAACAAAAUCAGUGCUGGACUGUAGGCUUUCUUCAGCUUCAAUUGUGAACCCUUUAAGCUGCAUUGAUAUUGUGUGCUUAGGGGGUGUGCACAUUUAAUAGAAAGUGAAAUGCAGCUCUAGAAGAUGUUGCAAAGUAAAGAACAGAGUGAGUGGUAAAAUAGGUGCUUGUUUUGUGGAAUAUCGGGUAUUAUAUUGACUCAAUGUAAGUGUCUACAGUUUAAUGUAUUCUCACAGCUGGCCCUCAGUGUUUGCUGUCUUCCAGCUAUUCUGGUACAUGCUUUGUUGUUUUUCUUUUGUCAUGAAUGGUACAUUGUUUUUAAAAUAAUGGUUGAUAGUACAUUUUGUUAUAAGAUAGCAAUGUAAGAAAUUGUUACCCUGAGUUACAUUGCUGGCACUC